GUGCAGCAGUCGCGAAAACCUCACAAUGUGCGAAAGCACGAUGAGGGAGUCCCAAGUGCUUGCACGUAAGUGUAAGCUGUUUCUCUGUCUAAAACGCAGAGAGAGUAAGGGCUGGGUAAGACGGGUGCCAGCCGCCGCGGUAAUACCUGCAGCUCGAGUGGUGACCGUUAUUAUUGGGCCUAAAACGUCCGUAGCCGGUUUAAUAAAUGCCUGGGUAAAUCGGACCGCUUAACGGUUCGAAUUCCGGGUAGACUGUUAAACUUGAGACCGGGAGAAGUUAGAGGUACUCCUGGGGUAGAGGUGAAAUUCUGUAAUCCGUAGGGGGACCACCAGUGGCGAAGGCGUCUAACUAGAACGGGUCUGACGGUGAGGGACGAAGCCC
rnacentral:rRNA from 1 species